CUUUACUGUAGCCUGGAAUUGGGUUCGGGCUUCGCUUGCGCAGGAUAGGUGGGAGACUAUGAAGCUGCCCUUGUGGGGGCAGUGGAGUCAUCAGUGAGAUACCACUCUGUCAAGGCUAGAAUUCUAACCGUCUGCCGUUAUCCGGCGACGGAACAGUAUCAGGUGGGCAGUUUGACUGGGGCGGUCGCCUCCUAAAUGGUAACGGAGGCGCGCAAAGGUUCCCUCAGGCUGGUUGGAAAUCAGCCGAAGAGUGUAAAGGCAGAAGGGAGCUUGACUGCAAGAGCAACAACUCAAGCAGGGACGAAAGUCGGCCUUAGUGAUCCGACGGCGCUGAGUGGAAGGGCCGUCGCUCAACGGAUAAAAGUUA
rnacentral:rRNA from 1 species